rnacentral:rRNA from 1 species
GGGAUGGACGCACCUCUGGUGUUCCGGUUGUCACGCCAGUGGCACUGCCGGGUAGCUAUGUGCGGACGGGAUAACCGCUGAAAGCAUCUAAGCGGGAAGCCCCCCCCAAGACUAGAUCUCCCUGGGAGCUCGACUCCCCUGAAGGGCCCACGAAGACUACGUGGUUGAUAGGCCGGGUGUGUAAGGUCAGUAAUGACUUCAGCUUACCGGUACUAAUUGCCCGUGAGGCUUGACCAUAUAACCUCA